AGGAUGAUUUUGCAUCCAUGCAAGUUAUUUUUUCUAGAUCACCCACCAACUAAUUUCAAGGUCUAUUAGCUUAUAAGGCAGAUAAAACUAUGUAGAAAACUUAUAAGACAUUGAAAUAAUCUAACACUAAUAUUUUAAAUUUGGUUCAUGUAUGACUUGUGCUAAUGUUUACAGGUGCUGUGAGGAGAGCUCGCAGCUAAGAAGAGGUUCCUAAUGGCUGGAGAUUUGGCUUAGCUGUCAAACGCACUUGUUCUUCUAGAGGACACAGGCUGGAUUCCUAACACCCACAUGGGUAACUGACAGCAUAUCUAAGUGCAGUUCUAGGGGAUCCAACACUCUGCUCUCUAUCAGAUAUAGAUUUGUGUGGGGGAACAUCUAAAGCAGUGUGUCAGGUAGAGAAUAUAAAAAUAUUGGGAUUGUUUUAACCUGAGCAGCUUUAAAUUCCUCCCAGUUACCAUGGGCAGCAUACAUCGCCAUAUUGGUCAGAAUUGAGAUGCAGAGAAAAAUUUUGCUGUGACAGACUAGGCUGUUGGCUAUCACAUGAUGAAGUAAAAGUUUCACAGUGCUGAGAAAGGGAAGGGGAUUAGUAAGAGAAAACUCAGAGCCUCUGACUCAUGGGUUUUUCUACCACAGGAGGCCAAAGGAUCUUGUUUCCAUUCUUGUCCCAUCAAUUAUCCCACCACCAGCAAAGGAACAGGAGAGAGAGACAAUAAUCUGUG
rnacentral:lncRNA from 1 species